rnacentral:lncRNA from 1 species
AUGUAAUCCCUGCUACUGGGCCGCUCCAUACCUACAAAAAGGACGAGGCAGGGGCCCUCGUUGAGCUGCACAGCGUUGGAGUCAGAGAGCUCCAGCACGGGCUUCGGGUGCCACGGGAACUCCCUGCAGUCCUCGUCAUUGAGCACCUCCACCCGACCCUGCCGAGUGAUCACCUCCCCCUGCGGGUCCAGCACGAUGAGCGUGGGGAUGCCUGCAAGAGAGUCACGACGCUUAGCUGGCCAUUGUCCUGAGACAGGGUGGAGCCUGCCUUCCAGAUCAGGGACAUUCACAUUCUCACAGUAAGGAUCCAAGCCAGGUCUGGUCCCGGAAGCCCUGGGCUAAAAGUAAGCC